AGAGUUUGAUCCUGGCUCAGGACGAACGCUGGCGGCGUGCCUAAUACAUGCAAGUCGAGCGGACAGAAGGGAGCUUGCUCCCGGAUGUUAGCGGCGGACGGGUGAGUAACACGUGGGUAACCUGCCUGUAAGACUGGGAUAACUCCGGGAAACCGGAGCUAAUACCGGAUAGUUCCUUGAACCGCAUGGUUCAAGGAUGAAAGACGGUUUCGGCUGUCACUUACAGAUGGACCCGCGGCGCAUUAGCUAGUUGGUGGGGUAAUGGCUCACCAAGGCGACGAUGCGUAGCCGACCUGAGAGGGUGAUCGGCCACACUGGGACUGAGACACGGCCCAGACUCCUACGGGAGGCAGCAGUAGGGAAUCUUCCGCAAUGGACGAAAGUCUGACGGAGCAACGCCGCGUGAGUGAUGAAGGUUUUCGGAUCGUAAAGCUCUGUUGUUAGGGAAGAACAAGUGCGAGAGUAACUGCUCGCACCUUGACGGUACCUAACCAGAAAGCCACGGCUAACUACGUGCCAGCAGCCGCGGUAAUACGUAGGUGGCAAGCGUUGUCCGGAAUUAUUGGGCGUAAAGGGCUCGCAGGCGGUUUCUUAAGUCUGAUGUGAAAGCCCCCGGCUCAACCGGGGAGGGUCAUUGGAAACUGGGGAACUUGAGUGCAGAAGAGGAGAGUGGAAUUCCACGUGUAGCGGUGAAAUGCGUAGAGAUGUGGAGGAACACCAGUGGCGAAGGCGACUCUCUGGUCUGUAACUGACGCUGAGGAGCGAAAGCGUGGGGAGCGAACAGGAUUAGAUACCCUGGUAGUCCACGCCGUAAACGAUGAGUGCUAAGUGUUAGGGGGUUUCCGCCCCUUAGUGCUGCAGCUAACGCAUUAAGCACUCCGCCUGGGGAGUACGGUCGCAAGACUGAAACUCAAAGGAAUUGACGGGGGCCCGCACAAGCGGUGGAGCAUGUGGUUUAAUUCGAAGCAACGCGAAGAACCUUACCAGGUCUUGACAUCCUCUGACAACCCUAGAGAUAGGGCUUUCCCUUCGGGGACAGAGUGACAGGUGGUGCAUGGUUGUCGUCAGCUCGUGUCGUGAGAUGUUGGGUUAAGUCCCGCAACGAGCGCAACCCUUGAUCUUAGUUGCCAGCAUUCAGUUGGGCACUCUAAGGUGACUGCCGGUGACAAACCGGAGGAAGGUGGGGAUGACGUCAAAUCAUCAUGCCCCUUAUGACCUGGGCUACACACGUGCUACAAUGGACAGAACAAAGGGCUGCAAGACCGCAAGGUUUAGCCAAUCCCAUAAAUCUGUUCUCAGUUCGGAUCGCAGUCUGCAACUCGACUGCGUGAAGCUGGAAUCGCUAGUAAUCGCGGAUCAGCAUGCCGCGGUGAAUACGUUCCCGGGCCUUGUACACACCGCCCGUCACACCACGAGAGUUUGCAACACCCGAAGUCGGUGAGGUAACCUUUAUGGAGCCAGCCGCCGAAGGUGGGGCAGAUGAUUGGGGUGAAGUCGUAACAAGGUAGCC
rnacentral:rRNA from 1 species